GGCGGGGCGGGCGCAGGAGGCGGGGCUGCUAGUAGCCUCCAGAGGGCGCUCUGUCCCGCGCUGCGCUCUGACCCGGGCCCACCGCACGUCUUCAAAGGGCGAUACAUUCGUCCGCCUUAAUGACUGCGCGGGGGCAGCGGCGGAGCGUCCCCGGGGAUAUCCAACCUCCGGGGCCGUCCUGAGCCCGAGUCCCCAAGGAUGGUCCAGCCUUCCUUGUGCCCGGCCUAAGAAUAGAGCUCCCAUUCACACAAGGUGGCAGCAAGAUCUGUUCAAGAUGGAAAUUGGACUAUGUAAUGUUCAUGAAUCAUGCCAGACCAUCAAUUCCAGGUGGACCCUAUGCCCCAGAGCCAUGAAGAAAACUGAAGCAUUUUCAGAAGGCAAUGGACAGGACAAGGGAAGGAUUUCUUCAGCAAGAUGUCAAAAGGAAAGAAAUAAAGAGAAAUAUGGAUCAAUUUGACUACUUAAAAUUGGUCAUUUUUGUUCACCAAGAGUUACAAAAGAGGAAAUGGCAAGGCAAGCCGGGACUUAGGAAAAG
rnacentral:lncRNA from 1 species